UCACCUCCUUAGGCUGCGGGCCCCCAGGCUGAGCUGGACGAGUAUCUCUAGGAAAGGCUCAUCUCAAGCACGACUAGGAGC
rnacentral:pre_miRNA from 1 species